rnacentral:pre_miRNA from 1 species
GGACUCGCGCGCUGGGUCCAGUGGUUCUUAACAGUUCAACAGUUCUGUAGCGCAAUUGUGAAAUGUUUAGGACCACUAGAUCCGGCGGGC